AGCGAACGCUAGCGGCAUGCUUAACACAUGCAAGUCGAGCGCCAGGUUUCGGCCUGGAGCGGCGAACGGGUGAGUAACACGUAGGUCACGUACCCUAUGGUGGGGAAUACCCCGGGGAAACUCGGAUCAAUGCCCCAUAUGUCCGAAAAGAUGAAAGCGCUUCGGGGCGCCGGAGGAUCGGCCUGCGGCCCAUUAUUUAAUCCUAGUUGGUGAGGUAACGGCUCACCAAGGGUACGAUGGGUAGCUGGUCUGAGAGGACGAUCAGCCACACUGGAACUGAGACACGGUCCAGACUCCUACGGGAGGCAGCAGUGGGGAAUAUUGGACAAUGGGCGAAAGCCUGAUCCAGCCAUGCCGCGUGAGUGAUGAAGGCCUUCGGGUUGUAAAGCUCUGUCGUGGGGGAAGAAGUUCUGACGGUACCCCACAAGAAAGCACCGGCUAACUCCGUGCCAGCAGCCGCGGUAACAC
rnacentral:rRNA from 1 species